AAAAAUCACAUUGCAAUUUUUGUAUUGUUGUAAUUUUGGGGAAUCGUAAAGCGGCGGUGGAACUCAAAGUCGCCACCGUUUCCGAUCAAAAUCAACCUCUGCUCAAACCCUAAUUCCUAACUCCACGACUCUUUUUUUUGAUCCGAUCAAGAGAGAUGUCACUUGAGGAGAAAGCUAUGGAAGCGAUCAAAGACGCUUUGAGAGCUUUGCGUAAGCGUCAUCUUCUUGAAGAAGGAGCUCAUGCUCCUGCGCUUUCUGCUCUCUCUAAGCCUAUUCUUUCUCAGGGGUCAGAAUGGAAGGAGAAAACAGAAAAG